AGUUCAGUAGUGCAAUCGGGUAGCACAACAGACCGGACAUUUGUAUAUGCGGGUUCGUGUCCCUCCUGAAAUU
rnacentral:tRNA from 1 species